rnacentral:rRNA from 11 species
CUGGCGGCCUUAGCGCGGUGGUCCCACCUGACCCCAUGCCGAACUCAGAAGUGAAACGCCGUAGCGCCGAUGGUAGUGUGGGGUCUCCCCAUGCGAGAGUAGGGAACUGCCAGGC